GACGAACGCUGGCGGCGUGCUUAACACAUGCAAGUCGUACGGUAAGGCCCUUUCGGGGGUACACGAGUGGCGAACGGGUGAGUAACACGUGAGUAACCUGCCCACAACUUUGGGAUAACGCUAGGAAACUGGUGCUAAUACUGGAUAUGUGCUCCUGCUGCAUGGUGGGGGUUGGAAAGCUCCGGCGGUUGUGGAUGGACUCGCGGCCUAUCAGCUUGUUGGUGGGGUAGUGGCCUACCAAGGCGGCGACGGGUAGCCGGCCUGAGAGGGUGACCGGCCAGAUUGAGAAUGAGAAACGGCGCGGACUCCUACGUGAGGCAGCAGUGGGGAGGGUUGCACCAUGGGCGCAAGCCUGAUGCAGCAACGCCGCGUGCGGGAUUACUGCCGUCGGGUGAUGAACAGCUUUCAGCAGGGACGAAGCUUUUUGUGACGGUACCUGCAGAAGAAGCACCGGCUAACUACGUG
rnacentral:rRNA from 1 species